GUCUCACUUUGGCAGGAUAUAUACUAAAAUUGGAACAGAAAGAUUAACAAGGCCUCUGCUCAAGAAUGACACGCAAACUUGUGAAGAGUUUCAUAUUUUU
rnacentral:snRNA from 1 species